rnacentral:rRNA from 1 species
GAUGAACGCUGGCGGCGUGCCUAAUACAUGCAAGUCGAGCGAACGGACGAGAAGCUUGCUUCUCUGAUGUUAGCGGCGGACGGGUGAGUAACACGUGGAUAACCUACCUAUAAGACUGGGAUAACUUCGGGAAACCGGAGCUAAUACCGGAUAAUAUUUUGAACCGCAUGGUUCAAAAGUGAAAGACGGUCUUGCUGUCACUUAUAGAUGGAUCCGCGCUGCAUUAGCUAGUUGGUAAGGUAACGGCUUACCAAGGCAACGAUGCAUAGCCGACCUGAGAGGGUGAUCGGCCACACUGGAACUGAGACACGGUCCAGACUCCUACGGGAGGCAGCAGUAGGGAAUCUUCCGCAAUGGGCGAAAGCCUGACGGAGCAACGCCGCGUGAGUGAUGAAGGUCUUCGGAUCGUAAAACUCUGUUAUUAGGGAAGAACAUAUGUGUAAGUAACUGUGCACAUCUUGACGGUACCUAAUCAGAAAGCCACGGCUAACUACGUGCCAGCAGCCGCGGUAAUACGUAGGUGGCAAGCGUUAUCCGGAAUUAUUGGGCGUAAAGCGCGCGUAGGCGGUUUUUUAAGUCUGAUGUGAAAGCCCACGGCUCAACCGUGGAGGGUCAUUGGAAACUGGAAAACUUGAGUGCAGAAGAGGAAAGUGGAAUUCCAUGUGUAGCGGUGAAAUGCGCAGAGAUAUGGAGGAACACCAGUGGCGAAGGCGACUUUCUGGUCUGUAACUGACGCUGAUGUGCGAAAGCGUGGGGAUCAAACAGGAUUAGAUACCCUGGUAGUCCACGCCGUAAACGAUGAGUGCUAAGUGUUAGGGGGUUUCCGCCCCUUAGUGCUGCAGCUAACGCAUUAAGCACUCCGCCUGGGGAGUACGACCGCAAGGUUGAAACUCAAAGGAAUUGACGGGGACCCGCACAAGCGGUGGAGCAUGUGGUUUAAUUCGAAGCAACGCGAAGAACCUUACCAAAUCUUGACAUCCUUUGAAAACUCUAGAGAUAGAGCCUUCCCCUUCGGGGGACAAAGUGACAGGUGGUGCAUGGUUGUCGUCAGCUCGUGUCGUGAGAUGUUGGGUUAAGUCCCGCAACGAGCGCAACCCUUAAGCUUAGUUGCCAUCACUAAGUUGGGCACUCUAAGUUGACUGCCGGUGACAAACCGGAGGAAGGUGGGGAUGACGUCAAAUCAUCAUGCCCCUUAUGAUUUGGGCUACACACGUGCUACAAUGGACAAUACAAAGGGCAGCGAAACCGCGAGGUCAAGCAAAUCCCAUAAAGUUGUUCUCAGUUCGGAUUGUAGUCUGCAACUCGACUACAUGAAGCUGGAAUCGCUAGUAAUCGUAGAUCAGCAUGCUACGGUGAAUACGUUCCCGGGUCU